CACCCCUUUAAUACCUAAAAGAUUUCAAACUCCAGCACAGGGACAUCUUUCUUUGGGUUUGUACAGUAAUAACCACGAUGGGCCUCUGAUCACAGCCUGAGUGCUGCCCUCAUAAACACAAAGGCCCUGCACAGACCAAACACAGCCAGGACUGAGACACAGCCAGGGUUUGGUAACUCAGUAUUUAAUGUCCACUGCAGAACUAGGUGUUUAGACAUCUAAAUCAACAACCAGAUUUUCUAAGCAUCCUUUGUGCAGAGAUUUUCUAACAAACAGGACACAGGAUGCAGCCUGGACAGCAGGCAGUCCCUUUGCUGGUGGCUGUGUUCUACUGCUUUUCUCAAUUUGCCAGCCCUUCCACAGCAGUAACUCAGAAUGCCAGACCCAGACAGGCAGCACACAAGGACCUUCCUGCACGCCGUGCUAGACCAGGAGUGCUGACAUCAAAGAUCUCGGAGCCACAAGUCCAGGUGUCAGUUCUUUUACAUUGUGCAGCUUUCAUGAUGAAAUUCCUGAUCUUCUUGUUCACCCUUCAACUUUGAAAAGCAAAGAACCAGACAGAUCUGAGAAAAGGAAACUCAGUGAAGGGUAACGAACACAGUGUCUCUGAAUCCACAGCAAGUAAACUACAAAUAUGAUCAUUUAGUAAAUAUCAUAAAACUUGGGUCUGGUUCCUGAGUUAAUUACCUGUUGGACUGAGUCAAUCUACUGAAACCAAUAGUUUUCCUACUGUCCUAAGAGAAUUUCUAUCAAACCUUAAAUUAAACCAAAUUCCUUUGGAGCGCACACACACAUACAUCCAAAGGCAACUUCCAUCCUUUGACUCUUGUAAGAUAGUGAAAUUUAUACCAAAAAAGCAGUGCUUAUAUAGAAUGUUUCUUGUGACAUGGUUGUCCUAAAAUCUCCAUAAUUAAAAAGGAAGAGUGUCAAAAAUACGCCCACUGGUACAGACAGGAAUCUGCAACAUGAAAGGAAGUUUCAACACAGUGACUUUGACCAACAAAGUACUGUGAAGAUAUCCUGUAUAUUAACUAGUGGCAGAAAACUGCAAUGGAAUUCUAACAUGUUAAAGGGAAAAUAAAGGGGGAAAGCACAGCA
ensembl:lncRNA